rnacentral:rRNA from 1 species
GAUGAACGCUAGCGGGAGGCCUAAUACAUGCAAGUCGAACGGUAACAGGGUAGCAAUACCGCUGACGAGUGGCGCACGGGUGAGUAACACGUACACAAUCUGCCUUAUACUGGAGCAUACCCCCAAGAAAUUGGGACUAAUUCUCCAUAAUAUAUCGAAGAGGCAUCUCUUUGAUAUUAAAACUCCGGUGGAAUAAGAUGAGUGUGCGUCUGAUUAGCUAGUUGGUAGGGUAACGGCCUACCAAGGCUACGAUCAGUAACUGGUCUGAGAGGAUGAUCAGUCACACGGACACUGAGACACGGGUCCGACUCCUACGGGAGGCAGCAGUAGGGAAUAUUGGACAAUGGGCGCAAGCCUGAUCCAGCCAUCCCGCGUGAAGGAUUAAGGCCCUCUGGGUUGUAAACUUCUUUUUUUGGGGAAUAAAAACUGGGAUUUAUCCUGGCUUGAAGGUACCCGAAGAAUAAGCACCGGCUAACUCCGUGCCAGCAGCCGCGGUAACAC